rnacentral:rRNA from 1 species
UACGUAGGGUGCGAGCGUUAAUCGGAAUUACUGGGCGUAAAGUGUGCGCAGGCGGCCGAGCAAGUCGAGUGUGAAAGCCCCGAGCUUAACUUGGGAACUGCGCUCGAAACUACUUGGCUAGAGUGUGGCAGAGGGAGGUGGAAUUCCACGUGUAGCGGUGAAAUGCGUAGAGAUGUGGAGGAACACCGAUGGCGAAGGCAGCCUCCUGGGCCAACACUGACGCUCAUGCACGAGAGCGUGGGGAGCGAACAGG